CCUUACUGCUAUCGGGAUGAGACUAAAACAUGCUAGUUGUGCGCACCCAAGCUAUGUUGGGAGCGCAGCGAACGGCUCCGUAACACGUAGUCAAUCUAACCUUAGGAUGGGAAUAACCCCGGGAAACUGGGGCUAAUACCUGAUAGGCGAAAAAAUCUGGAAUGACUUUUCACUCAAAGAGUUAUGGGAACAUGCUCCUUUUACUGCCUAAGGAUGAGACUGCGACCGAUCAGGUUGUUGGUGGGGUAACGGCCUACCAAGCCUAUAACCGGUACGGGCCGUGAGAGCGGGAGCCCGGAGAUGGAAUCUGAGACAAAAUUCUAGGCCCUACGGGGCGCAGCAGUCGCGAAAACUCCACAAUGCACGAAAGUGUGAUGGGGCUACCCCGAGUGCCGUCCGCUGAGGACGGCUUUUCUUCAGUGUAAUAAGCUGGAGGCAAUAAAGGGAGGGCAAGAAUGGUGUCAGCCGCCGCGGUAAAACCAACUCCCUGAGUGGUAGGGAUGAUUAUUGGGCUUAAAGCGUCCGUAGCUGGCCUGGUUAGUCCCGCGUUAAAUCCAGCGACCUAAUCGUUGGGCUGCGGGGGAUACGGUCAGGCUAGGAGGCAGGAGAGGUUAGCGGUACUCCAGGGGUAGGGGUGAAAUCCAGUAAUCCCGGGAGGACCACCAGUGGCGAAGGCUGCUAACCAGAACGCGCUCGACGGUGAGGGACGAAAGCUGGGGGAGCGAACCGGAUUAGAUACCCGGGUAGUCCCAGCUGUAAACGAUGCGGGCUAGCUGUUGGGAUGGCCACGAGCCAUUUCAGUGGCGCAGGGAAACCAUUAAGCCCGCCGCCUGGGAAGUACGAUCGCAAGAUUGAAACUUAAAGGAAUUGGCGGGGGAGCACCACAAGGCGUGAAGCUUGCGGUUC
rnacentral:rRNA from 1 species